AGGUUGACCAGAGUAAAGUAGUUUUGUCUCCGAUGCCUGGCUUGGUGAAGUCCAUAGCGUGUGCUCCUGGAGAUAUGGUCGGAGAAGGGCAGGAGGUGUGCGUUAUUGAGGCUAUGAAGAUGCAGAACUCCUUGGUUGCCGCAGCGACUGGGAAGGUGAAAGCCGUGCACGUGAAAGAAGGAGAGACGGUCGAAGAGGAACAAGUCUUAGUCGAGUUAGAAUAGAGUAAUGAGAACAUUUUGUGUAGCUUUUGGAGUAGGUGAACUGAUGUGAAACGUAAUGAGGGUGUUUCUUUUUUUUUUUCUUUCUUUUUGUGUAGUAGAGAAAUAGUAAGAAAUGCAGCUAUAUUUUAAAGAAUAGCUUUUUCAGGUUGUUUAAUGAAGUAGCUAAUUAUUUAGGUUGUCUUGAUAUAGUUCAACCUUGUAUUUUCCUCAUCCAACAGUCAAGAUUAUAAGUUUGGGGAUAUUGUCCGAUUUCCAUCAAGAAAUCUUACAAUGCAGCGUUACAGGACAGAUACGGACCAUAAAAAGGCAAACUGCUAGUAAAGAAUAGGUGAAAUAAACAAGAUUAGUUCAGUAACCUACUUCACCCAGUGUUUAAUUUGGUCUCGAAAUUGAUCAUUGGAUUUGAGUUGAUAUCACUGUAUCACCUCGUCAGUUCAGUAAUUAGCGGUGAAAAUGGAAUUAUUGUGAAUACUCACUGCCGAAAGAUCAUUUCUACUCAUAUCAAGACUCAUAAGAUGUACGUGAUUGGGCAUUAUUUAAUUUAUUUAUCCUACUAUUGUGCAAUUGUUGAAAGUUUUAGAAAUGAUUACACAUUUUGAAUUGAAGAAGAUACCUUUUAUAUCUUUUCAAUAUGUAGGUUGCCUCUUUCAUGUCUUAUUAAUCUAAUUUAAAUAAUCAUACUUUUCAAGUUGCAAUAAUAUUUUUUUUUUUUUUUUUUUUGUAAAUGAUAUGGGAGUUGUUUUCCUUAAAAUUUGUUAUCAAUUAAAUAUAUUUGGUAAUUGCAUAAUUUUUAACAGUUAAUGUUAAAAUGAACUGUGGAUGUUAGGAAAGAAAAGGUGUGGGAAAGAUUUUGUGUAGUAACAGUUUUGAUGACAAUUUUGUCAAAGAAUAAAACUAUUUUUCUGUAAAUCUAUUGUAAAAAAUCAAAGAAAGACUUAGACUUACUCUUCCAAUAUGAAGCAGUGAUGUUUAGUUUAGGAAAGAUUUGAUUUAAAAUUCUCAUGAUGUUGUGUACAUUUUCAUUUCCUGAUUAUAUUUUUGUAGUGUAAUAAAAGUUUUGUUAGCUUA
rnacentral:lncRNA from 1 species